AACGCGAAGAACCUUACCAAGGCUUGACAUGUUAUCGAUCACUGUAGAGAUACGGUUUCCCCUUUGGGGCGGGUUCACAGGUGGUGCAUGGUUGUCGUCAGCUCGUGUCGUGAGAUGUUGGGUUAAGUCCCGCAACGAGCGCAACCCUCGUUCCAUGUUGCCAGCACGUAAUGGUGGGGACUCAUGGGAGACUGCCGGGGUCAACUCGGAGGAAGGUGAGGACGACGUCAAAUCAUCAUGCCCCUUAUGUCUUGGGCUUCACGCAUGCUACAAUGGCCGGUACAAUGGGUUGCGAUACUGUGAGGUGGAGCUAAUCCCAAAAAGCCGGUCUCAGUUCGGAUUGGGGUCUGCAACUCGACCCCAUGAAGUCGGAGUCGCUAGUAAUCGCAGAUCAGCAACGCUGCGGUGAAUACGUUCCCGGGCCUUGUACACACCG
rnacentral:rRNA from 1 species